CAAUCCUGGGAAAGGAGAGAGAGAUUAGGCAUGAAGAUCAGAAGGGCAAAGCCAUCUCUGGUUACACCGAGUUCAAGGGCAGCCUGAGCUUCAAGAGACCCCAUCUCAAAAGGGGACAGGUGAAGUGGUGCACACUGAGGUAGAGAUGAAGACAACCAGGAGUCCAAGGCCACCUCUGGCUACUACGUGGAGUUACAACCACCUGUAUCAGAAACCCAAGAACAGAGAAUAUGGAGG